rnacentral:lncRNA from 1 species
GUAAGACAUCUACAAGUAUUUGACAUUGCUAAGAAAAUUUUUAUGUUCGUUUCUGUUAUUUUUUUUCAUGUUGAUAGUAUAUAAAAUUAUAGUUGUCUUAGUUUCUAUGUAUUGUUUAUUAUGUGUGAUAUUUUUUAUGUUAUAGUGUGAGGAAACAAAGAGGAAAACGUUUCUUCGUAACUGAUUAAAUGGCAUUGGGACCUUGAUUGUACUAUUUAAGUGAUUGUUGAUAAAAUAGUGACCAAAACAAUACAUUCCUUUUCAUUUGAUGAACUCCAAAAUAUAUACAAUACAUUAUGGUUAAGACAAAUUCUUAUAGGAGUUAUAGCCCAUGAAUGACAAACUUUACAAUUCUUUUUUUUCUUCAUGAAAACCAUGAUAUUUAGAGCGAAACAUUUUUUUUCUGUAAUGCCUGGCAUUAUGAUAGAUAAAUAAACACUCUAAGUCACAAAAGUUAUCAGCAAGGCAAGAUCUAUUAAUAAGUCAAAGAAACUAAACAGACUAAAAGAUCAGAAGUAGAAGAUGAACAAAAUGGAGAUUUUUGUCAUGGUCUAUUCUCGUCUAAAAUGUUGGAGAGCGUCCUUUGUUUGAUAUUCCUAUAGACCCAGUGACACAGGCUCUUGAGAGCCUCUAGUUAAGGUAGUCAGAAUUUUUCAGUUGCACCAGCUGCAAUAUGAGAUGUGAUUAUAAUGAGGGGGGAUAAGACCUUUAUCGGGACUCCGGGAUCGGGUGUUUUUAAGCUCGGGAUUUUGGGAUCCGGGAAUUCUUUUUUUCGAAUUUCGGGGUCCGGGAUUUUUAUUUAUUUAAAUUUGGGACCUCAGGAUUUCAUGUUUUUAAGUCCGGGAUUUCGGGAUCAUGACCUGUCCUAUCCCUCCUCUAUAAUCAUCAAGUGUAAAAGAUUUUUAUUGUUUUGGUCAAAUAUGCAAAUGAUCUCAGAUUUUAUGUGUUUACAUGUGUUGUAUUACUAUUAUUUAAAUAUUAUAAGUGAUUUUUACAUUUCCAUUAUCAUUUUUUAUGUUUCUUAAUUACUCAUACAAGUCUCUAUUAUUUUGAAAUCCAAAGUAGUGUUAAAUGCAGUUUUCUAAGAUUGCUUAAUGCUUUGGAAUUUGACCAACAUUGUAAAUUGACUUAAGUGCUAUUGUCAUGCCAUGCUUUACUACCCACUACCCUUUAUUGUCCCAUGAUUUGUGUGUCUCCAGGGACAUUCUAGUCUCAAAUAUAUAAGAAAGAAAACAGGGACUAUUUAUUUGAAAAUAUUAAAGACAUUUAUGUUGAUGAAAAAAGUCAUUACUAUAAAUUGUGGAAUGUCAUAAAAAUCAAGGGAGGCAAAAAGCAAGUUUCCCAUGAACCCAGUCUCAUCCUCAAUAAUAUAAAACUUUGCAUUACUCUGAAUUUAUUGUUUUAGGAGUAUCUUUUGAAAUCAUUUUUAUCCAAGUAGGUUUAUAUGCAAGGGACACGACUCCGUUAAAUAUAAAAUGUUUAAUUUAAGAUUUUUUUGUCUUAUCAGGAAAUAGAUUAAUCAUUGAAAACUUUUAACAAUACUUUGAUUUUCAAUAUUGAGUGAAUAAGAGCUCACCACACACUUCUUGCAUUUUAGUUUGCAGCAGUAAAGUCAGGAGUCUUCAAAAUACUCUAUACAAGUACAUAUAUUUUUAAAAGUUGAAAGAUAUUUUCGAACAGGAUGAUCUUCUAAAUUUUUCGACCUUUGUCUACAUUUAUAAUUAAAUUAUUUUCAUGUAUAUAUAAAUGGCCUACGCAACUGUGGUAUCUUGCCCAUUGAAUUCCUGUUUACUGGUUUUCAAAGCUGUGUAAUUGAACUUUCUUUGAGAGACAGUUCAUGCAUUCAUUUAGAAUCAUUUCUUCAUUUGGGAGAGUUACAAUAUCUUCAUGUAAUCUAAAACCAGUCUUCAUAUCGAUGAACAAGGAUGCUAAUUAUGUAUAUAUUUAUCCAUUAUUUUAUUGACACAGCUACAUGUAUAUGUAUGACUAUGUACCAUUUAAGUUUCAAACUUGAAUUUUAAUAUUUAGCAGAUGAGGGGGGAUGGGGGAUGAAAAAAAAUUGUGGGAGGACAAUUUUUUUCUCAUUUCAGAUUUCAAGGGUACUAAAUUGUAGAACAUCAGAAAAAAUGUGGGUCUCUAAAUAUCUUCACUUUAAAAUUAAAUGUUUAUUAUUGUACAGUAAACAUGGUAAAAGAGUAAUUUUAUUCAUUUUUACUGGAUAGGCCCAUACAUGUAUAAUUUCAAUUUUUAUUUUUAAAUAAUUGCGUCAUGUAACAAUUAAUAGUUUUCAAAUACCAUAGCUAAUGACAACUGUUAAAGUUUACAGCUAAUAUCAAGUGAGAGAUUUGAGUCUAAACAGUUCAGUUGUUUUAUUUGUUUGUAUUUUUACUGUGAUGGAAUCUCAUAGUUAUGAUAAAUAGAUAUAUUGUAGAAUUAAUUAAAUCGUU